UACGGAGGGUGCAAGCGUUAUCCGGAUUUACUGGGUUUAAAGGGUGCGCAGGCGGAUAUGUAAGUCAGUGGUGAAAUCUCUAGGCUUAACCUGGAAAUUGCCGUUGAUACUAUAUAUCUUGAAUGCUGUGGAGGUAAGCGGAAUAUGUCAUGUAGCGGUGAAAUGCUUAGAUAUGACAUAGAACACCGAUUGCGAAGGCAGCUUACUACGCAGAUAUUGACGCUCAUGCACGAAAGCGUGGGGAGCAAACAGG
rnacentral:rRNA from 1 species